AUACGGAGGGUGCAAGCGUCAAUCGGAAUUACUGGGCGUAAAGCGUACGUAGGCGGUUAGUUAAGUUAGAUGUGAAAGCCCCGGGCUUAACCUGGGAACUGCAUUUAAAACUGGCUAACUAGAGUUAAGUAGAGGGGAGUGGAAUUUCAGGUGUAGCGGUGAAAUGCGUAGAGAUCUGAAGGAACACCAGUGGCGAAGGCGACUCCCUGGACUUGAACUGACGCUGAGGUACGAAAGCGUGGGUAGCAAACGGGAUUAGAAACCCUAGUAGUCC
rnacentral:rRNA from 1 species